AUAAAGCUGGCUUGGAUUCAGUUUUGGCACCUUCACCUUGGAGCUGUGUUGGUCCCCUAAUCCUUCGCCUUUCUCUGAAUUCUUGUGUCUCGUUUCUCAUUCUCUCGCCAUAUCGUGCUUUUGGAAAUCCUGCUUGUCAACCCCAACGGGGAUCCGAAAGUGAAUCCAGCCUCUGAGGCUAGCUCCUAGCGGCAGAGAAUGCAGGGAAAUCAGGCCAGCUCGGUGGACAAGGAAAGUACUUGGUAAGUACACCCCUGCGGAUUUGUCAAUCAGGCUAACAACGGGGCAAAAUCCUUCUAAGCAUAGUGACUAUAUGCAAGUGUUAAAAACUUUGUUAAAAAGUUCGGAGGUUGAGAUUUCUCACUCUCCUUUUAAAGAAUUGUUUUCUGCCAUUGAAAAAUAUUGCUACUGGCUAGAUCCAGAUAAAGGGACUUUGAGGCAUGAGGAAUGGCAAGAAGUUAUGCAUUGCCUGCGCCCAAUGCAGCGAAAAGAUUCCUUUGUCUGUAUGGUCAGUAGGGAAUCUUAUUAGCACAGCUUUAGGACCACUGCAAUCCAAAACCUCGGAUUCAGGGGAUUCUGUAGAACAAAUACAAGAACAAAUGGAGGAAAUGAAUUUAUAUAAUAACAUAGGUGAUGAGGAAGAGAAACUAUCAAUAAAAUUGAAAAAUAAGAGCUAAAAGAAUGAUAGAAGUCAAGAACAGAUCUUUCUCUCUCGACCAACUGCACCUUUGGUCAAGCCCCUUCCUUUCAAUCCUGAAACCCCUUGGGAUGGUGGAUUUGCUUUUAAACCACAGAUAACUGUGCCUAUUAAAAUGACACCUUUACAAAAGGGAGUUCGUAUGGCACAGUUGCAGGGGGAUGAAGAUGCUUUAGUUCUCCCUGUGGCUGUAACUCAAAUCCCACCAGAUCCUCAAUUUCCACAAGGAAGAAUACAUUAUGAUUAUAAUGCCAUAGCAUUUAAAACCAUAAAGGAGAUAAAACAGGCAUGUACCCAAUAUGGAACUGAUUCUCCUUAUACCAUGGGACUAAUUCAGGGACUUUCACAAGCUGAACAAUUAAUUUCUUAUGAUUGGGAAAUGAUAGCCAGAACUUGCCUAUCCACCUCAUAAUUUUUACAAUUUAGGACCUGGUGGCAAGAUGAGGCAAAUCAACAAGCUCACCGAAAUGCGACAGCCAACCCACCAGUUGAUAUAACACUGGAUCAAUUAAUGGGUAGUGGGGCACAUUUUGGCAUUCAAGCUCAGUUACAAUUUGAUGAUCAAUUACUCACUCAAGUGAGAAUGAUAUGUUUAAAAGCCUGGGAGAGACUAAAUCCACCCAGACAAGCCUCAAUUUCAUUUACCCAAAUUAAAUAAUCAAAUGGGGGACCUUAUGUAGAUUUUAUUGCCAGGAUACAUCAAAAUUUAAAUAAAACAGUCUCACAACCUGGUUUGAGAGAUAUGCUGAUACAAGUUCUUGCUUAUGACAAUGCUAACUCAGAAUGUAAAAAGGCGAUUCAGCCUCUCAAAGGACAUGGUGCCCCUCUAGAAGAAUAUCGUAAAAGUUUGCCGGGAUAUUGAGUCAGAACCAUAUAAAAUGCAACUUCUGGCUCAAGCAUUGUCUAAGGCUAAUAAAAAGACAGAUAUGAAAUGUCACCAAUGUGGAAAAUCAGGACACAUUAAAAUAGAUUGUAAAGGAAGAAGAAGAUAGUCAGUUAAUAAAUUAUACUAUUGGCUCUGAUGCCACUCCUAUUUGUAUUGGUUUUGGAAGUAUAUGUCUUAAAACAGGAUAUCAAAAGUGGCUGUCAGUUGUCAAAGAAUCAAAUGAGGAUAAGAUGUCCCUCUUUCUGUUAACUGCCCUUACUUUUUUAGAAAAAGAAGAAACUUCCAGCAUGAUGAAUCCACCUGACCUUCCUGAUUGUGUUCCUGAAAUUAGCCAUGGUAUUGAAAAUUGGUUAAGAUGGAAAUUAUGUAAAGGAUCAAAAGGUCACUUAUUAUUAAAUGUUGCAGAAGGCUCCAUUAUCAAUUUGGGACCCUGCUGCUGCUGCUGCUGCUGCUGCUAAGUCGCUUCAGUAGUGUCUGACUCUGU
ensembl:lncRNA